AUGUUCCAUUAGUCCAUGAUCAAACCGUUUGUUGGGUGCGUCUGUAGAUUGGCAACAGUAGAAAAUUACUACUAAUCAGACUAUCUUAGCCUUUCGAUAGCUUACAAAUGGAUGUUAGAAGAGACCAUUGGCAACUAGCAUCAGUGAAUGGGAAAGAACCGGCAAUGCGAUCCAUGCACCAUCUUGGUUAAUGUGUGCAUGAUCUUAACCGGUCAUCAGUUGGGCACACCAUAAACACACCCUAACAUCCAAUGAUUAGAUGGUCCACACAUGUGGGAAAAGAGGUGUUACAUUAUAUUCAGGCUACAUAUCAAGCUGCAUAUAAUGAUGCUUAAUAUGUAGGCACUCAGAAAUUGUACAUGUUACAUUUAUCACUUGAUCAAAUGUGUUUAUAUAAAACUAAUGCAAUGUCUCUCAAUGUUCAGGACCAUCAUGCUAGCGUUCAUGAUGCAACAUCAAUGGAAGCAAGUUAUAAGUCUAUCAUCUUUACCAUUUCUCUUUUGUUUCAAUUGUGUUAUGUUUUAUUCGGAUGUUUGUACAAAUAUUGAGAAUAAAAGUCUCCUAGAUUUGUAUUUUAAUUGAUGGGUCAUAAUUGUGAUGAUCAUUUGUACUAGACCAUCCUAGUUGCAUAUGAUCUAUUGGACCACUUCUGUGAAAUAAACCUUCCUUAUAUUCGGAGACAGGUAUAAUUCUAUUGGACCACAUUGUUAUUUUACUUUGUAGUUUGUGAAUUUUAAUUGGUUGGCUUUUGUUUCAUAUAAACAUUGAAUUAGAGCAGCUAGUCUUCCCAGCUUUGUUAAUAUAGCAGUUAAUAGAUCCAUUUAAUUCAUUUUGAAAGCUUGAAGAAAGAAAUACUUGACCGAUUUAAUCUGUAUAUGUGUGUGGCUUGUUUUAAUACCAUAAAACUAGUUGUCCCCUCCCUGAUUUCAUUGUGAGUAUGAAUUUAAGAGAUAUUUAUUUGGCAAACAGAACAUUUAAACACCAUAAUUUCAUCAAGGAAUUCAAGUGGGACUCGAACAAAUGAGAUGGAGAAGGGGCCUAGUAGCACAAGUGCUAUCCUCGUAUAGUUGUAGGAAAACGAACAAAGGGCAGCUGGUUGUUGAACUAAAAAUCAGGCCAGCCUGCUUAUCAAAUGGGAUGCGAGAAGGAGAAUGGCGAUGAUUGGCACAAGAUUGCACACAUCAUAGAGAUUCAGAUUGGAUGGUCGCCCGAUUGAUUUGCAAAAUUGGUUAUAGCUUUUGCAUGAAAUGCUUACAGAUGAGAAGUAUAGAUUGAGGUGGAGUUUUGUCUAUAGCCAUGGCUUCUUGGACUUCAAAGUUGUUGCAUUGUUUGUAUUUGUAUUUCAUGCAUAGAAGCAGACACUUGUAACCUACAUGUUUGUGUGAGAAAAGUGUUUUUUACUGACCAUCCCUUAUCAACUUGGCAUGAGAACAGAAUAAUGGAACUUCGUAGAGUAUUACAUUUUUAUUUAUUUAUUUUGGCAGUUGUUGAAGCGUGCUAGGAAAUGUCAAUAAUGCAGCCCAAUUCAAAGUAAUGGAAGAAUCUCUGAUGAAAUCUCUUUAUUUACAUUAAGAACACUAGGUA